rnacentral:rRNA from 1 species
CGGGUGAGUAAUGCGUGACCAACCUCGCCCCAUGCUCCAGAAUAGCUCUUGGAAACGGGUGGUAAUGCUGGAUGCUCCAACUUGACGCAUGUCUUGUUGGGAAAGUGUUUAGUGGCAUGGGAUGGGGUCGCGUCCUAUCAGCUUGUAGGCGGGGUAAUGGCCCACCUAGGCUUCGACGGGUAGCCGGCCUGAGAGGGCGGACGGCCACAUUGGGACUGAGAUACGGCCCAGACUCCUACGGGAGGCAGCAGCC